GCCGAUGUAGCUCAGGGGUAGAGCAGCUGAUUCGUAAUCAGCAGGUCAAGGGUUCAAUUCCCUUCGUCGGCUCCA
rnacentral:tRNA from 1 species